AACGAACGCUGGCGGCGUGCUUAACACAUGCAAGUCGAACGCGAAAGGGACUUCGGUCCUGAGUAGAGUGGCGCACGGGUGAGUAACGCGUAAGUAAUCUACCCCUGUAUCUGGAAUAACCCACCGAAGGGUGAGCUAAUACCGGAUACGUUCAGACUGGUGCGAAUCAGUUUGAAGAAAGGUGGCCUCUUCUUGAAAGCUACUGUACAGGGACGAGCUUGCGUACCAUUAGCUAGUUGGUAGGGUAAUGGCCUACCAAGGCGACGAUGGUUAGCGGGUCUGAGAGGAUGAUCCGCCACACUGGAACUGGAACACGGACCAGACUCCUACGGGAGGCAGCAGUGAGGAAUAUUGCGCAAUGGGGGAAACCCUGACGCAGCGACGCCGCGUGGAUGAUGAAGGCCCUUGGGUCGUAAAAUCCUGUCAGGUGGAAAGAAUGGUAUAUAUGCUAAUAUCAUAUAUAUUUGACGGUACACCAAAGGAAGCACCGGCUAACUCCGUGCCAG
rnacentral:rRNA from 1 species